UUAGUAGAAGCCAAAAAGAGGCAUAUCACUGUUAAUGAUAUUAUUGAAGUACUUCACCUUCCUACUAAG
rnacentral:tRNA from 1 species